CCGCACGCUCGCCGUUCACCGCCCGUGCGCCGCCUGCGCUUGCCAUCCCUGCCGUGCGACCCAGCUCCCGUUCGGCCUCUGUUCAGCCACCGUGAGCGGCUGAGCAGGCCACCGGAGCCGCUGUUCGGCCUCCCCGGAGUUCCGCCCGCUCCCCCGAACCCUUCUCUGCCCCUAACCAUCCCUGUUUUCCUCUGUUUCGCAGCAAACCAGCAACAAACGAAAUGGGUUUCCAGCUGGUUCGGGCUCGUUUUGGGCCGUUUCCGGGCCCCGGAUCCGUGAGUCGCUUUGGGAAGAAUCGUUCCUCGCGUCGCCGCCGUCGGAUUGAUCCGAUUUGUGCGCGAUUUGGUGAGUAAUCUCACUAAUCUCGGAUUAGUUUGCUAAUUAUGCUUUAGGUUGGUUUAGUUUUAAUUAAUUAUGUUUAGGUUGUUAGAUUAGAAGUAAUUAGCAAUUAUUAGUCAAUUGUGAUGCAAUUUAGAAAAAUUGAUUGCGCAAUUAGCAAGUAGACGUGGUCUACUAAUUAUUGGAAGUGUUUCGGGAAUUUUCGGACCCCUAAUCGGGCUUCAAUUUGGCGAUUCGGGCCUAAGUGGGAUUUUUGGCAUUUAAAUAUUAUUUUUCGGAAUUAAAUUAAUUAAUUAUUUAUUUUCCGAAAAUUCAACUGAGAUGGUCCGGGACCGGAAAAUUUUGUUGAUGACCGUGGUGAAGUCCGUUUAUUUAAUCGGGUUUUAUUUUGAGCUAAAUUGAAUUUUUAAUAUUAAUUAUUUAAUUUUCGAAAUUAAUUAAUUAAUUAAUUAUUUUCCGAAAAUUCAACUUGGAUGGCUAGUGGCCGAAUUUUUAUGCUGAUGAUCGUGGUGCAGCCCGUUUAUUUAAUUGGGCUUUAAUUAAGCUAAAUUGAAUUUAUUGAAAUUAAUUAUUAAUUUUCGAAAUUAAUUAAUUAAUUAAUUAUUUUUCGGAAAUUAAGAUUGAGAUGGCCAACGACCGGAAUUUUGUGCUGAUUGUCGUGGCACAGUCUGUUUAUUUAAUUGAGCUUUAUUUUGUGCUAAAUUGAGUUAUUUGUGAAAUUGGAAAUUAUUCUUUAAUUGAAUAAUCUCUGGUUAUUAAUUGAAAAAUAACCGGGCAUCGGUUGAUGAUGCCAAAAAUAUUUGAAUGGACUACAGAAAAUGUGGGAGUUAUGGAAAGAAAAAUAUUAUAUUUUGGCUAAGGCCAGCCGUGUGCCCACGCACGAUAUUUUAUCGAAUAUUUUUGAUACGAAGAAAUGAGGCCAAGAUAGUGCGAGGCACAAUGCCAUUGGGCCGUGAGGGAUUAACGUGUGUUGGCUUAUAGAUGAAGCAAGAUGAUUAUCGAAAGUGAUGCGAUGUGUGUUGUGUUGAGGGAAACCAAUGGAUCAUGAGCAGGUAAAGGACUAAGUACUACACAAGUAGAAGACUUCGUGUGAGUUACCUCUAGCGCCCUAUACCAUUGCUUAUUGUAGUUAAGGACUAAGUAUUACAUGGCGACCUGAGUCGCAUGGGAAUUACCUCUAGCGCCUUGCUGCAUUGUUAUGCAUAGUGGAGGGCUAAGUGCUACGCGAUGGAAGAUCUCGUGUGAGUCACCUCUAGCGCCUUACCCUAUUGCAUUUUGUAGUUAAGGACUAAGUACUACACGAUAGCGAGAUUUCGUGUGAGCUACCUCUAGCGCCUUAUACUAUUGUUAUUUGUGGUCAAGGACUAAGUACCGCACGAUGACGAGACUUCGUGUUGGGGUCACCUCUAGCGCCUUGAGCCUAUAUUUGAGCGGGAAUGUUGAAUGGGAAUGUUGAGAUUAAUUAUCGAGUAUAGAUGGAAUCAUUGAUAUGAUUUGAUCCGUUUGUCAUGGAUUGAUUGAUUGAUCUGAAUUGGCCGGGGAAUGGUUUUCGUUGACAUGUAAUCGACUAGGUCGAUUGAUCAUUGCUUUGGUCUGAUGUUGUGAAAUGAUUGAUUGAAUGGAAAUGACCGUGAGUGGUCUUGUUGGCAUUUAAUCGACAAGGUCGAUUUGAUCGACGCUUCGAUCAGUGAUAUGAUUGCUUGGGUGCCUAUUAUGAAUUGUACUGACUUGCAGGUGGGACAUGAGGCCAAGGUACGUCUUCUGCCCUAUGCGUGUAUAGGCAGCCUGUAGUAUAAUGGUUUACUAAUCGGGCUUAGUGGGGUAGAACUCGCUGAGACGUAGUCUCAUCCCAGUUUGGGGAAAACAUUUCAGGACCCCAUUGAGGAGCUGAGGAGGAAUCUGAGAAGGAGAACUCGGAGGUGAAACCUGAGUAGAAGGAUUUUUGAAAGAAGAAGAUAAUACCGAGAGAGAUUUUGAGUAUGACCUGAAGGGAUUGAGAUUCCAUCUUCUUUUGUGAACUCCAAUUGAUGUGAAUAGUUAUGACGUGCUCUAGUUGAUGUCAUGUACAAAAGUUUGGUUAUAAAUUUCAAUAUGAAAGAUAUGGCCCUGCUUUUCUAUCCCAUCGUUUUAUUGUCUAGGGAUUUUAAUUGCUUCCGCAUGUGCUUAAAAAUGAAAGGGUCGGCGAUACAUUGUCCUGGGAUAUCGCAUUAUAAAAUCGACCAAGUGAGACGGAUGUGUGCGUGCCUGAGGAUCGGGGCGUGACACUAUACGGUUCUGAAAAUUUUAAGCCCACGACAGGAUGAGAUAUAAAUCUCAGGGAGUUCACGAUCUAAGCCCUGAUUAGGAGGGAAAUACACCCAGAAGUGUCCUAACCACACAACCACUCAAUUGGCACAGAGGACUUACCUCGCCUCAGUUUCCUUUUUCUGCAUGUUAGUAUAGUUCAUAUCGCAAUGCAUAUAAUCAAUGCACAUAACAACUGGAACACUUCAUCAAUUCAAUUAAUCACUGGGGUCCUGAUUAUAAGGUCAAACCGUUAUGACACGUCCCAUUCCACGUCGCACAGUUUUGCUCUCAUAAUCGGGUGCAUCAAACUCAACAAUCAUGCAUUCCAAUUGUUAAUUACACCCCUCAAGGGCACAACCAACUCUAUUGGUGGUCUUCUGGCAUUGCCAGGCGUCGUCUCACCCCCUUUGAAUACGGCAAUGUCUCUCAAUUAAACGGCUUCCCCGAAGGGGCGUAGGUCCAGAAUCUACUGCGACCCAAAUCCCAAUGAAUGGGUAACAUCUGGCUUAACAGCCUAGGACGGUUUCUCUUAACCAACACACGACCAAUCAAUCUCGACCCAAGACACUAUGUAUUGCACUCAAAUGUCUCAAUUAAAAUAGUGAACUUGGCCUUUUUUUUUAUAUUAGAAAUACACAAUAAAAUAGUCGUGUGUGGAUACACGGUUAAUUCACACUAGAAAAAUUGAUAUCCUCCAAUUUAAAAUCCCACUGGUUUAUAUAGUACAUAAAAUCAUUUUCGGUGUUAAAACUCGACACCCGAGAUUUUUUGAAUAAAUAAUGAAUUUCACAAAUUUUGGAAUUAAAUACUCAAAAUUCCAAUCAGUACUCAAUUUGCACAAAUUAACAUCCAAUUGCAUAAAUUGAACACGCCAUUGCAAUUAGCAUGAAAUUCCAGUCACCGGCUAUCCCGGCCUAAUUUUCGGAAAAUAAUUAAUAAUUAAAUACAUUAUUGAAAAUUAAAUAAAUUACAAAAUAAAUAAAUUUAAAGCAUUUAAUUAAAUUUACCUAAAUUAACUAACUAAAUAAUCUAAUAUUUAAUUUAAUCUAACCAACCUAUUUAAUUUAAUCUAAAUACACUAACUAAAUAAACUAACUAAUUCCUAACUAAUCCACCUAACUAAACUAAUUACACUAACUAAAUACUAACUAUAUACUUAAUCUAACUAAGCCAUCCUAAGCCUAAUCAACAUAAUUAAUCCAUAAAUUAGCUAACUAACACAGCUCUAAGUGUCAUUAGCCCACUAAUAAAGGAUUAGAACGCAACUCACUAGUUAAGCCUGAAAAUCGGCUCACAGCGACGGCGGCGUGACGGUGGCGCAACGGCGGCCAAGACUUGAACUCACGGUGAGACCGAGGGACGCUCAGAUCGGCUGAAAACGGCCAAUGAACUUGCUGUUCGGGCUGAGAAAACCGGCACAGAAGAUGCGGGUUUUGAUCUUGAGCUUCGAAGGCUGAAGCGGGCUUUGAGAGGGCUGGCUAAGCAAAGAAAUCGCGGCCAAAAUAAGAAGCCGAUGGUGGAGAUGGACGACUUGGACGCUUGCUGCUGCAGGGGGAGUCAACCGAACGGUGUUUGUUGACUGAAAGUGGGCGAGCGUGAGUGGAGCAGGGAAAUAAAAGCUUCGGUGGAGGUGUAAGGUAGGGGCUGAGCAAAAACGGUUUCGGUGGAGGGGAUGAGCAACUUCGGUGGCGUCGAAUCCAAGGGGAAGCAGUGGUCUUUGGUAGAAACAAAAAUAGAAGAAAAGAAAGGCAGUAGCCAAGAGAGAUAAAUGAAAGCAAAGCAGCACCGCGAAGAAGGAGGAAAGAGGAACGACAUGGACGAAGCUCCACCGAAUGAAAUGACAAGGAAGAGGCGUCCAUGGAGAGCAGCUGGAUGGAUUGGCUAAGGAGAUUAGAACAAAAAGAAUUGGUCAAAGAUAAAUAUCUAGGCAUUAAAGCCUUGUCUCCCCUAUUUCUUUCUAGCAAAUAUAAUCCAAGAAUUAACUAAAUUGAUUCCAAAAAUCAGUCCUCAAACCAAAGCUCCGAAUUUCACUGAUUUUAGAAUUCAAUUUCAUCCUCAAAUUCUCAAUUUCGAAGUCCAAUUUUGUCAAAGAAAAAUCCCACACAUUUCCACAAAUUCCCAUCACACAGUAGCUCUAUUUAGAAGUCGAAAUUCCCUUCAAACGAGCCCAUCCGAAUUUCCGUUCAAUUUCCGAAUCGAUUUUCCGUAAAAAUCUCGGAGUCUCCAAAAAAUUUUCGGAAAGUGAGUCGACGUUCUUAAAGUGAAUUGUGACACGGCAAAACUUUCAAUUUCUAAAAUCGAGCUCAAUUUCGCAGUUAAUUUCAAUUCGACGUGAUUUUAGUGUGUCCCAAUCUACUAAGUAGCUUUUAGGAAUUUUUAAUACAAUUGACUCAUGAUAGAUUAUUUUCUAGCCAUAAUGUACAUCUUCGAAACAUUGGCGACUCUUGAUUGUCGUGAAAAUCUCGAGGUUUCAAAUACGGACACAAGGUACAAAAACGACAGAAAAAUCGGUCUAGUGCCGUUCGACAGAAAUUUUGCAAUUAGGUGGAAUCAUCCACACACUAAUCACAUAUCUCUAUCGAAUCGACCUAUCUUCGGUCUCUAAUCCAUUUUGACGGUGCCGUAAUGACUCUUGCAGAUUAGCAUGGUCGAGCAGUCGAUUUUUGGUCAAAUUCUCAUGUCUAUUGCGUUUAGAUUCCUUAACGGUUUCACCUAAUAGACUAGUUAACUCGUGAGUGGCCAACUCAAAGAAAAAGGCUAUAGACACGUCGAUAAAAAUCCCAUUUCAUCUCAUCGAAAUCAAACUAAAAAAUCAGGAUGUCACAAAAGGUCUUCCAUCUUUCCAAAUAUGAUAAUUUGAACAAUUCAAUAUAACCAUUCUACUUGUAUUUGUUUCUAUUGUUUAACACAAGGUAGAAAAAUCAAACAAUAACCAAAGCUCUAAUACAACUUUGAUGGUAGAACAAUAACAACACGAACAAUAUCAAAUUAACGCAGCGUAAUAAAAUAAUCUCUCAUCUUAUACAAAUCUAAUAGGAAUCGAUAUAGUAUAUCAAAAUAAAUAUCAAGCACGCAAACACAAGGCGAUUUUUUUACGUGGAAAACCUCCUUAGUGUGAGUAGAUAAAAAAAUCAUGGGACUGGAGUCCACCCAAAGAUCUUCACUAUCAAUAAAAUUGGGUGAACAAAGUUCUAUUCUGGUAAAUACUAAAGGUACAUAACAGAAAAGACCUCAAGAACAUCAUUCUUGGCAAUACGUAUAAAUUUCUUAAUAGAUCAAUGAUAAAUCUAACAAAAAACGCAAGUUUUGUUCAACCCACAAAAAAAUUGGUGUAGGGAGCUUCAAAUGAAAAUCAAGCCGUCAUGAUUCAAGAAAAAUGCGUCACGGACACGCUAACAAAUUUUCAGCUUAAUCAAAUCACGAAUCGACCUCUGAUGCUAUCUUGAUGUGAAUCAAACUAAUCUCCAGACUCCAAAUUUUCUGCUUUCUCUUUUUCUCUUAUCACUGCUCUCUGCUAACUUCUUUGCGGCUACUAGUGAGAAACUCUAUUUUUCCAUAUGAAUUAUCAUAUGGGUGCAAGUCCUUUUGGGUUUGCUAUUCAUUAGGCUUCCUCCACAUGAGAGUGAACUCAGCUAACAGUCCCAUCUCUAGCCACCGCCUCUCUCUCUCUCUCUCUCUCUCUCUCUCUCACUCUAUUAGCGUAUUUACAUUAGCUUUUUCCAGUCUUCAAACAUGUUUCUUCUUUUUCAAUUUUCCCAUUUGAUUAACAUUGGUUGCAAGUGGGUAUAGUCCAGAUCUAUCAAACUCAUAUCUAGUCAAGCUUUACUACUUGAAACCUAUGACAAUUCCGUAUUUAAUUUUAGCUAACUCAUCAAGACCCAAUCUCUCUAAAUGCGAUUUUUUCUUUUUCUGGUCAGACUCUAAAUGUGAGUUAAGAAGUGGUGUUUGACCCAUUUUUACACUUGUAGUCACAUGCAAUUAAAAAGAGGCAUUGUCUCGUGAGUGUGCACAGUGUUAUGUUGUUUGUGUGCACGGCAAACACCGAAGAUAUUUCACAAAGAAGUUUUCCACAGCUUGUAGUCGUGGAAGACUAGAUGAGACAAGCUAUUUGGCCACACGUGUAGGAGUUUUUCUGAUGUGACAUGGGCUACAUUAAUCGAUAUAAUAAUUUACUAUAUUGUGGAAUUGGUCCAAUAAGAUGAUAUAUAAAGAUUCUUAAUUAGUCUAGUAUGAGGCGAAUUAGUGUGAAACCCAGCCUGUGAUGAGAGGGUCUAUGAUUUAUAACUCUAUAAAUAGUACUCAAGUCUAUUUUUUAACCUCAAUGUACAUAAGGAGCAUUUACUAAAUGCUGACGGUGGGGAGCAGUCUCAUUAAGCCAAUGAGAUGAAGGGUAAUAUAUGAGAAGCACUUGAGCUCUGGAUCAUUGCUAUUUCACAUAAAAAAAUGAAUGAUCUCAAUCUAGUGCACAAAUCACUUUUCUCUACUGAUGUUUUCUAGAUUUUAGCCAUGGAAAUUUUAGGUUCCAUAUUCACGACUAACAACAGAAACUUUGGUCCAAAAGUUAUUGAGAACUAGAGCUAAGAAAAUCGUCCAAGUUGAAUCCAUCGACCUUUUCUAAUGGUCGACUUCUAUUUUCUUCGCAACAUUUUUGACAAUACAUGUUCAGAAAAUACAACAUUGCAAACCGAGGUAUUGUGAUGUAGUCCUCGUAGUCUUAAGUUGCACGAAUUCACUCACGCACACCCCCAGUACUGAAUAAAUUCUAAUUAAGAAACGCUAGAAAAUUCUGGGAUUGGCAAGAAUAUAUUGCCUAUAUUCAUUGAAGGAAGUAUAGUAAUGACCAUGCACAAAGAGCAAUUUCUUCAUAGAUAAAAGAUUUAUUCAGUAAAUGAGUAUGCCUCGUACCUCAUUCUGCAGUCUUUGAGUUGGAGCUGAGCCCCGACGCCCAAGGNNNNNNNNNNNNNNNNNNNNNNNNNNNNNNNNNNNNNNNNNNNNNNNNNNNNNNNNNNNNNNNNNNNNNNNNNNNNNNNNNNNNNNNNNNNNNNNNNNNNGUGUUAUGUCCAUAGUAGUUAUAUCCAGAUUCUGCGGUAUUAAUCCGUAGAUCUAACGGCAAUAGUAAUCAUCCCCCUCGUUGUAUUUGACUCCAUUGCAUAUUUCCUGCACCACGGUUUCGUCUGGCAUGGCUCUCGCAAUCUGGCAGAUAUAGUGAAGACUAAUCAUGGUAGUAGCCACGAUUCUCUUAAUAGAAGCCAUUUUCGUUUCUCUAUACCUUCGUUUCUCUCUCUGACUUCCUGUUUUCUUUGGUGGAAUGCCCCAAGCCUUUUAAAAUGCUGAGCUUGGUUGCUGCAUUAAUUGCCAUGCCCUCCCUGAUGCAAACCAAGGGUAGGCUUAUUCAAACAGUAAGAUCGGGAGAGUGACUCGCACAUGGGAAACAGAACGAACAGAAAUUUCAGCACUGCGCAAGCUCAAGAGAACAGCCGUAUCUUUGUCGAUACAAAUCGGUUCGACCUGAUUCUAAAGCCAAAUGAACAAAGACUUAUGGAUCUAGAUGAUGCAGCCCGUAUUGAAGACCAGCUCUCUUGACCAAGAAGAUUGGCCCACAUUCAAGCUCGACGAAACUUCUUAUCGAUGAAGUUGUCAAUUCAACCGAGAAGCCGUAUCGAUAUCUUAAGUCCAUCCCGGAAGCUUGAAAGAAGACACCUUGGGAACCAUGAAGACUUUAUGCUUUUACUAGUUUCUAGUUUCAAUGCUCUGUCUUUAUUUCUUUGAUGAUAUAAGCCAUCCAAUUCCUUGUACAAGACAGACGACUUUUGAUGAAUGAAAACCUUGCUUUCAAGCAAGUAUCGUGAACCUUGCAAAGUUCAUACCCUUGAAAACCUAGAAGAGUUUUCACUGCAUCCUUGAAGAGUCAGAGCUUUUCAAAAUCUGCAUUCUUGAAGAGUUGUAGUCAUCGAUCUAGAAGAAUCAGUGCUCUCUCAACUUCCUUGGAGGCCUAGAAGAGCAACCAACGAAGUUUCUAUCUUUUCCUAUUAUGUUCGUUAUUUUUCACCCAUUUCCAACCCAAAUUCGACCAUCCUAUAGUGCUUAUUUUAGAAAACCAAAAACAGAGAAAUUGUAGAUCCACAAGUCUUUGCUCAUUUGGCUUUGGAAUCAGGUUGAACUGAUCUAUAUCGACAAAGAUACGACUGUUCUCUUGAGCUUGCACAAUGCUGAAAUUUCUGUUCGUCUUGUUUCCCGUGUGCAAGUCACUCUCCCGAUCAAUUUCUCUGUUUUGUGUUUUCUGAAAUAAGCACUGUAGGAUGGUCGAAUUUGGGUUGGAAGUGGGUGAAAAAUAACAAACAGAACAGGAAAAGAUAGAAACUUCAUUGGUUGUUCUUCUAAGCCUCCAAGGAAGUUAAGAGGACACCGAUUCUUUUAGAUCGACGACUGCAACUCUUCAAGGAUGUAGAUUUCAAAAAGCUCGGACUCUUCAAGGACGGAGUGAAAACUCUUCUAGGUUUUCAAGGGUAUGAACUCUACAAGGUUCGCGAUAUUUGCUUGAAAGCAAAGUUUUUAUCCAUCAAAAGCUAUCUGUCUUGUAUAAGGAAUUGGAUGGCUUAUAUCAUCAAAGAAAUAAAGACGGAGCAUAGAAACUAGGAAAAAUGGUAAAGAGCAUAGAAACUAGAAACUAGGAAAAAAUAAAGACAAAGCAUUGAAACUAGAAACUAGUAAAAGCAUAACGCCUUCAUGGUUCCCAAUGUGUCUUCUUUCAAGCUUCUGGGAUGGACUCAAGACAUCGAUACGGCUUCUCGGUUGAAUUGACAACUUCAUCAAACUUCAUCGACAAUCGACAACUUCAUCGAUAAGAGGUUUUGUCAAACUUGAAUGUGGGCCAAUCUUCUUGGUCGAGAGAGCUGGUCUUCAAUGCGAGCUGCAUCAUCCUCCCCAUCUUUAAAAGAAUUCGUCCUCGAAUUCUCGACAUCAUCAUCAGAAGAAUCUCCCACAUAAGGUGUUAAAUGUCGAACGUCGAAGACAUCAUGAAUCUUCAUAUGAGAAUGAAUAUUUAAUCGAUACGCAUUAGAGUUGAUUCGCUCAAGAACUUCGAGAGGUCCAAGCUUUCGAUCACUAAGCUUGUUAUAACUUCCAACGGGAUGCCAUUUCGGUGGCAAAUAAGCCCAAACAAAAUCUCCAAGUUCAAAGAUAACUUUACGUUGUUGCUUGUUGAUGUUCGUUUUAUAGGAUUCAGUUUUGUCGCACCCAAAAUGUCCUUCACGGUGAACUUCAUCGAUGACCCUUUGCCGAAGAGAACAGUUUGGCACACAUAAAUGGUUUCUUUUGAAAAGAAAACCAUCACAUACAGUAAAAUCAGCAAGCUUCUUUUCAUGUGCAUCAAUAAUGAUCUUCAAAAAAGUAGGGUUCUUCUUGAUAUAACUCCUGAAAAGAAUCAAAUCCAAGAAUAGUAGAAUGCAUUGUAGAGAGCAAGCUCUUCUUUCAACUAAGGGCAUCGGCAACUUGAUUCUGAGCUCCAGCCUUAUGCUUAAUAAUGAAAAUGAACUCCUGGAUGUAUUCCACCAUUUUGCUCGCCUGGAGUUAAGCUUUCGCUGUUUGGAAAUAUACUUGAGAGCUUCAUAAUCAGUAUAUAAAAUAAACUCUCGAUGAAUAAGAUAUUGCUACCAAUACUCAAGUGUGCAAAGUAAUGCGUAGAAUUCUAGAUCAUAGGCGACGUAAUGAAGUUCAGCACCAUUCAAUUUUUCACUAAAGAAGACAAUGGGUCAACCUCGUUGACUUAGAAUUCCUCCUAUGCUAGUACCUAAUGCAUCACAAUGCACUUAAAAAACAAGAUCAAAAUUAGGCAAUGCAAGUACUGGGGCUGUGCUCAAUUUUUCUUUAAGCUAUUCAUAACUUUUCUAAGCUGUAUUCAUCCAUUCGAAAACUCCAUUCUUCACGCAAGAAGUGAGUGAGGCCGCAAUGGUGCUAAAAUGCGCAAUAAACCAUCAAUAGAAUGAAGCGAGGCCAUGAAAACUUCGCACUUCAUGCACAUUUGUUGGAGUUGGCCAUUCUCGAGUCCCCUUGAUCUUAGAAUCAUCCACCAAAAUGUCAUUCUUCGCAAUAUCAAAUCCCAAGAAAAGGAUUUGUGGUACCAUAAAAUAACACUUGUCAAGAGCCGCAUACAAUUGUUCCCGCCUUAACACACAUAAUACUUCUUGAAGAUGCUGCAAUUGCUCAUUAGUAGACUUGCUAAAAAUCAAGAUAUCAUCAAAAUAAACCACAACAAACUUUCCCAAAAAAGGCUUUAACACCUUAGUCAUAAACCUCAUGAAUGUAGAUGGUGCAUUCAACAAUCCGAAUGGCAUGACUAGCCACUCAUAUAGCCCAUCUUUCAUUUUGAAUGAUGUCUUCUAUUCAUCUCUGGGUUUGAUUCUAAUUUGAUGAUAUCCACUCUUCAAAUCCAGCUUCAAGAAUAUAAUUGCAUCAGAAAGUUGAUUUAAGAGAUCAUCAAGGCGAGGAAUAGGAAAUCAAUACUUGAUGGUGAUCUUGUUGAUCACUCUACUGUCAAUACACAUCCUCCAAGUACCAUUUUUCUUAGGCACUAAAAGAGCUGGAACGGCACACGAAUUGUGACAUCCUGAAAUUCGACCCCGUUUCGAUAAAGUGAAAUGGGCAUUUCGUCGGCGUGCCUACGGCCUUUUUCUCUGAGCUGAUCACUCACGAGUUAACUAACCUAUUGGGUGGAGCCGUUAAGGGAUGUAUCGGCCGUAAAAUCCCUAAAAGCUACCUAAUUGGUUGGAUUGAGCUAAAAUCACGUCCGAUCGAUUUUUAACCACGAAAUUGAACUCGAUUUCGGGAAUCGAAUUUUAAGCGCGUCAUAAUUCUUAUUUUAGGAUCCUGUCUCAUCGCUCGUCAAUUUAUUGACGAGUCCGAAAUUUCAAUAAAGAAAUUAUCGAAAGAAAAAUUGAAGACCAAAAUAAAAUAGAAAGAGAAAAGAAAAAUUUGCAUAAUGGAAGUGUGCAUUUUAAUUUUUUCUUUUUCUCUCUCUCUCCCCCUCUCUUUUCUUUUCUUUCUUUUCUUUCUUUUUCUCUCUUUUCUUUCUCUCUCCUCUCUUCUCUCCCCUCCCAUCCGUGCGAACACCCCCACCGCCCAUUCCCUCUCUCUCUUUUUCUUUUUCCCUUGACCGGUCAAUGUCUAUCUCUUCCCUCUCUCUCUUCUCUCUCCUCUCUCUUCUCCCUCAUCCCACGUGAUCUUCUUCUUCUUCUUCUUUGUUCUUCCUUGUGCGGACCGAACCAGAACCAGCCGCCUCUCAGCCGCUCGUCCUGCCGUCGCGCCGCCGCACCGCCGCACCGCCCGUGCUGCACCCGCGCGCUUCGCCCGCGCCCAGCCGCUCGUCUGCGCGCCCAGGCCGAGCGAACCAGCCCCGUUCGCUUCUGUUCCAGCCGCUGUUCCGCCCAUCUCCGGCCGCCUUCGGCCACCGCCAACCCCGCCGGACCUCCCCCGCGACCCCCUCGCCCUCCGCCGGCCUUCCCCCGCCGCCCUAGCCGCCGGAGCUGCUUCGUUCAGCCGCGACCAGCAAGACCCACGAAGUGGGUUUCAGCCACUUCGGGCCCGCUUUUGGGCUGUUUCCCGGCCCCGGAUCCGCGAGUCGCUUUGGGAACAUCGUUCCUCGCGUCGCCGCCGUCGGAUUGAUCCGAUUUUGCGCGCGAUUUGGUGAGUAAUCUCACUAAUCAGGAAUAGUGGGCUAAUUAUGCUUUNNNNNNNNNNNNNNNNNNNNNNNNNNNNNNNNNNNNNNNNNNNNNNNNNNNNNNNNNNNNNNNNNNNNNNNNNNNNNNNNNNNNNNNNNNNNNNNNNNNNGAGCUCUACGUUGUAUGGAAUUAAUUAAAUUGUGAUAUUUUAGGGAUUUACCCUAAAUUGAUUGGAAUUGAUUGUGAUUGAAUUGUUGAUUGGUAAAUGGCCAAGUAUGUUAUUCAGUAUUUUAAUGUUUUGUUGAGUUGAUUUAAUUAAUUGAUUGAGAAAUCGUUGGGCUCGAUGAAUUGGAAUAUUACUUGAGAAAUGCACGUGAGUUUAGUGGUUGACCAUAUUGAAUUGUUUAUGUUGGCUCUGUGAUCAGUGUAUCACCUUGGCGAAAAAAGACGCCCGAGAGCAUAUUGAAUUGUUUAUAUUGGCUCUGUGAUCAGUGUAUCACCUUGGCGAAAAAGAUGCUCGAGAGCAUAUUGAAUUGUUUAUGUUGGCUCUGUGAUCAGUGUAUCACCUUGGCGAAAAAGACGCCCGAGAGCAUAUUGAAUUGUUUAUGUUGGCUCUGUGAUCAGUGUAUCACCUUGGCGAAAAAGACGCCCGAGAGCAUAUUGAAUUGUUUAUGUUGGCUCUGUGAUCAGUGUAUCACCUUGGCGAAAAAGACGCCCGAGAGCAUAGUGAAUUGUUUAUGUCGGCUCUGUGAUGAAUAUAUCACCUUGGCGAAAAAGACGCCCGAGAGCAUAGUAAAGUGUUAAUUGGUACGUCACCUUGGCGAAAAAGACGCCCGAGAGCAUUCAUCCGGCUCUGCGACUGAGUACCCGAAUGGAGAUUUUAAAGUAUAGUGUUGAUGUGACCUAGAGGUGGUCCGAAUGACAUGUAAUCGACUAGAUCGAUUGAUCAUUGCUUUGAUAUGAUGUUGUGAAUUGAUUGAUUGAAUGGAAAUGACCUUGAGUGGUCUUGCUGAAAUGUGAAAUCGACUAAGUCGAUUUGAUCGAUGCUUCGAUUAGUGAUAUGAUUGCUUGGGUGUCUAUUAUGAAUUGUACUGACUUGCAGGUGAGAUAUGAGGCCAAGGUACGUCUUCUGACCUAUGCGUGUUUAGGCAGCCUUUAGUAUAGUAGUUUACUAAUCGGGCUUAGUGGGGUAGAACUCGCUGAGACGUAGUCUCAUCCCAGUUUGGGGAAAACCAUUUCAGGACCCCGCUGAAGGGCUGAGGAGGAGGAAUCCGAGAAGAGAACUCGGAGGUGAGAUCUGAAGAGAAGGAUUUUUGGAAGAAGAAGAUAGUCCUGAGA
rnacentral:lncRNA from 1 species